GAUGAACGCUGGCGGCGUGCUUAACACAUGCAAGUCGAACGGAAAGGCCCAAGCUUGCUUGGGUACUCGAGUGGCGAACGGGUGAGUAACACGUGGGUGAUCUGCCCUGCACUUCGGGAUAAGCCUGGGAAACUGGGUCUAAUACCGGAUAGGACGAUGGUUUGGAUGCCAUUGUGGAAAGUUUUUUCGGUGUGGGAUGAGCUCGCGGCCUAUCAGCUUGUUGGUGGGGUAAUGGCCUACCAAGGCGUCGACGGGUAGCCGGCCUGAGAGGGUGUACGGCCACAUUGGGACUGAGAUACGGCCCAGACUCCUACGGGAGGCAGCAGUGGGGAAUAUUGCACAAUGGGCGCAAGCCUGAUGCAGCGACGCCGCGUGGGGGAUGACGGCCUUCGGGUUGUAAACUCCUUUCGCUAGGGACGAAGCGUUUUUGUGACGGUGCCUGGAGAAGAAGCACCGGCUAACUACGUG
rnacentral:rRNA from 1 species